AACAAACGCUGGCGGCGUGCCUAACACAUGCAAGUCGUACGUGAAAGGGUCCUUCGGGGCCUGAGUAAAGUGGCGCACGGGUGAGUAACGCGUGGAUAAUCUGCCCUUCAGUUGGGAAUAACUCAUCGAAAGGUGGGCUAAUACCGAAUAAUGCUGUGAGACCUCGGUUGAUCAGCCAAAGAGAGCCUUUGCUUGCAAGCCCUCGCUGAAGGAUGAGUCCGCGUACCAUUAGUUAGUUGGUAGGGUAAUGGCCUACCAAGGCGACGAUGGUUAGCUGGUCUGAGAGGAUGAUCAGCCACACUGGAACUGAGACACGGUCCAGACUCCUACGGGAGGCAGCAGUGAGGAAUCUUGCGCAAUGGGGGCAACCCUGACGCAGCAACGCCGCGUGAGUGAGGAAGGUCUUCGGAUCGUAAAGCUCUGUCGGAUGGAAAGAACCGCAUAGGGGUAAACAGCCCCUGUGUCUGACGGUACCAUCAAAGGAAGCACCGGCUAACUCCGUGCCAGCCGCCGCCGUAAAAC
rnacentral:rRNA from 1 species